rnacentral:rRNA from 1 species
UACGUAGGUGACAAGCGUUGUCCGGAUUUACUGGGCGUAAAGAGCGCGCAGGCGGUCGAUCAAGUCGAGUGUGAAAGCCCCCGGCUCAACUGGGGAGGGCCAUUCGAUACUGAUCGACUCGAAGGCAGGAGAGGGUAGUGGAAUUCCCGGUGUAGUGGUGAAAUGCGUAGAUAUUCGGAAGAACACCAGUGGCGAAGGCGACUCACUGGACACGUAUUGACGCUGAGGUGCGAAAGCGUGGGGAGCAAACAGG